AUUGAACGCUGGCGACAUGCUUUACACAUGCAAGUCGAACGGCAGCGCGGGCUUCGGCCUGGCGGCGAGUGGCGAACGGGUGAGUAAUGCAUCGGAACGUGCCCAGUAGUGGGGGAUAGCCCGGCGAAAGCCGGAUUAAUACCGCAUACGACCUGAGGGUGAAAGCGGGGGACCGAAAGGCCUCGCGCUAUUGGAGCGGCCGAUGUCGGAUUAGCUAGUUGGUGGGGUAAAGGCUUACCAAGGCGACGAUCCGUAGCUGGUCUGAGAGGACGACCAGCCACACUGGGACUGAGACACGGCCCAGACUCCUACGGGAGGCAGCAGUGGGGAAUUUUGGACAAUGGGGGCAACCCUGAUCCAGCCAUGCCGCGUGCGGGAAGAAGGCCUUCGGGUUGUAAACCGCUUUUGUUCGGGAAGAAAUCCUCUGGGCUAAUACCCCGGGGGGAUGACGGUACCGGAAGAAUAAGCACCGGCUAACUACGUG
rnacentral:rRNA from 1 species